rnacentral:rRNA from 1 species
UACGGGGGAUGCAAGCGUUAUCCGGAAUCACUGGGCGUAAAGCGUUUGUAGGUGGUUAAAUAAGUCUGUUGUUAAAUAUUAGGGCUUAACCCUAAGCCAGCAGUGGAAACUGUUAGACUAGAGUAUGGUAUGGGUAGAGGGAAUUCCCAGUGUAGCGGUGAAAUGCGUAGAUAUUGGGAAGAACACCAGAAGCGAAGGCGCUCUACUGGGCCAUUACUGACACUGAGAAACGAAAGCUAGGGGAGCGAAUGGG